rnacentral:rRNA from 1 species
GAUGAACGCUGGCGGCGUGCCUAAUACAUGCCAGUCGAGCGAACGGAUGAGAAGCUUGCUUCUCUGAUGUUAGCGGCGGACGGGUGAGUAACACGUGGAUAACCUACCUAUAAGACUGGGAUAACUUCGGGAAACCGGAGCUAAUACCGGAUAAUAUUUUGAACCGCAUGGUUCAAAAGUGAAAGACGGUCUUGCUGUCACUUAUAGAUGGAUCCGCGCUGCAUUAGCUAGUUGGUAAGGUAACGGCUUACCAAGGCAACGAUGCAUAGCCGACCUGAGAGGGUGAUCGGCCACACUGGAACUGAGACACGGUCCAGACUCCUACGGGAGGCAGCAGUAGGGAAUCUUCCGCAAUGGGCGAAAGCCUGACGGAGCAACGCCGCGUGAGUGAUGAAGGUCUUCGGAUCGUAAAACUCUGUUAUUAGGGAAGAACAUAUGUGUAAGUAACUGUGCACAUCUUGACGGUACCUAAUCAGAAAGCCACGGCUAACUACGUG